rnacentral:rRNA from 1 species
UGGGGAAUCUUGGACAAUGGGCGCAAGCCUGAUCCAGCCAUGCCGCGUGAGCGAUGAAGGCCUUAGGGUUGUAAAGCUCUUUCACCGGUGAAGAUAAUGACGGUAGCCGGAGAAGAAGCCCCGGCUAACUCCGUGCCAGCAGCCGCGGUAAUACGGAGGGGGCUAGCGUUGUUCGGAAUUACUGGGCGUAAAGCGCGCGUAGGCGGACUGAUCAGUCAGGGGUGAAAUCCCGGGGCUCAACCCCGGAACUGCCUUUGAUACUGUCAGUCUUGAGUCCGGAAGAGGCGAGUGGAAUACCGAGUGUAGAGGUGAAAUUCGUAGAUAUUUGGAGGAACACCAGUGGCGAAGGCGGCUCACUGGCUCGAUACUGACGCUGAGGUGCGAAAGUGUGGGGAGCAAACAGGAUUAGAUACCCUGGUAGUCCACACCGUAAAACGAUGAAUGCCAGUCGUCGGGUAGCAUGCUAUUCGGUGACACACCUAACGGAUUAAGCAUUCCGCCUGGGAGUACGGUCGCAAGAUUAAAAGCUCAAAUGAAUU